ACAGGUCCUGGAAGCACCACAAGCAGACCUGCUUCUCACCUGGGCUCAGGCAGGGCCACCCGCCCAGGUGCGGCUUGCUGCAGAUUGCUUUGGGCUUCUCACCUGGGCUCAGGCAGGGCCACCCGCCCAGCUGUCUCCCCACAAACCGAAACAAUUUCGAGAGAGACGUGUGUUCUGCAACCAGCCACAGAAUAACAGGUGAGCUGGGCGUGUCUUCACUGACCCACCCGCCCAGGGAUGCUGCACUCCUCCACCCUGCUCAGGAUCACUGCAAUGACCGUUCUGUGGCUACAGCCCUAAAAGAGCUACUAAAAAGAUCAGAAGUCGUAUGAGAACUUAUGAAUACAAAUAUAAAUAAAGGACAUCUGGAGAACAUG